rnacentral:rRNA from 1 species
UACGGAGGGGGCUAGCGUUGUUCGGAAUUACUGGGCGUAAAGCGCACGUAGGCGGCUUUGUAAGUUAGAGGUGAAAGCCCGGGGCUCAACUCCGGAAUUGCCUUUAAGACUGCAUCGCUAGAAUUGUGGAGAGGUAAGUGGAAUUCCCAGUGUAGCGGUGAAAUGCGUAGAUACUGGGAGGAACACCAGUGGCGAAGGCGGCUACCUGGACCCGGUUCUGCACGCUGAUGCGCGAAAGCGUGGGUAGCAAACAGG